UACGGAGGGAGCUAGCGUUGUUCGGAAUUACUGGGCGUAAAGCGCGCGUAGGCGGCUUUGUAAGUUAGAGGUGAAAGCCCGGAGCUCAACUCCGGAACUGCCUUUAAAACUGCAUCGCUUGAAUCCAGGAGAGGUGAGUGGAAUUCCGAGUGUAGAGGUGAAAUUCGUAGAUAUUCGGAAGAACACCAGUGGCGAAGGCGGCUCACUGGAC
rnacentral:rRNA from 1 species